GACGAACGCUGGCGGCGUGCUUAACACAUGCAAGUCGAACGGAAAGGCCCUGCUUUUGUGGGGUGCUCGAGUGGCGAACGGGUGAGUAACACGUGAGUAACCUGCCCUUGACUUUGGGAUAACUUCAGGAAACUGGGGCUAAUACCGGAUAGGAGCUCCUGCUGCAUGGUGGGGGUUGGAAAGUUUCGGCGGUUGGGGAUGGACUCGCGGCUUAUCAGCUUGUUGGUGGGGUAGUGGCUUACCAAGGCUUUGACGGGUAGCCGGCCUGAGAGGGUGACCGGCCACAUUGGGACUGAGAUACGGCCCAGACUCCUACGGGAGGCAGCAGUGGGGAAUAUUGCACAAUGGGCGGAAGCCUGAUGCAGCAACGCCGCGUGCGGGAUGACGGCCUUCGGGUUGUAAACCGCUUUCGCCUGUGACGAAGCGUGAGUGACGGUAAUGGGUAAAGAAGCACCGGCUAACUACGUGCCAGCAGCCGCGGUGAUACGUAGGGUGCGAGCGUUGUCCGGAUUUAUUGGGCGUAAAGGGCUCGUAGGUGGUUGAUCGCGUCGGAAGUGUAAUCUUGGGGCUUAACCCUGAGCGUGCUUUCGAUACGGGUUGACUUGAGGAAGGUAGGGGAGAAUGGAAUUCCUGGUGGAGCGGUGGAAUGCGCAGAUAUCAGGAGGAACACCAGUGGCGAAGGCGGUUCUCUGGGCCUUUCCUGACGCUGAGGAGCGAAAGCGUGGGGAGCGAACAGGCUUAGAUACCCUGGUAGUCCACGCUGUAAACGGUGGGUACUAGGUGUGGGGUCCAUUCCACGGGUUCCGUGCCGUAGCUAACGCUUUAAGUACCCCGCCUGGGGAGUACGGCCGCAAGGCUAAGACUCAAAGGAAUUGACGGGGCCCCGCACAAGCGGCGGAGCAUGCGGAUUAAUUCGAUGCAACGCGUAGAACCUUACCUGGGUUUGACAUGGAUCGGGAGCGCUCAGAGAUGGGUGUGCCUCUUUUGGGGUCGGUUCACAGGUGGUGCAUGGCUGUCGUCAGCUCGUGUCGUGAGAUGUUGGGUUAAGUCCCGCAACGAGCGCAACCCUUGUUCACUGUUGCCAGCACGUUAUGGUGGGGACUCAGUGGAGACCGCCGGGGUCAACUCGGAGGAAGGUGGGGAUGACGUCAAGUCAUCAUGCCCCCUAUGUCCAGGGCUUCACGCAUGCUACAAUGGCUGGUACAGAGAGUGGCGAGCCUGUGAGGGUGAGCGAAUCUCGGAAAGCCGGUCUCAGUUCGGAUUGGGGUCUGCAACUCGACCUCAUGAAGUCGGAGUCGCUAGUAAUCGCAGAUCAGCAACGCUGCGGUGAAUACGUUCCCGGG
rnacentral:rRNA from 1 species